rnacentral:rRNA from 1 species
ACGUGGGUAACCUGCCUGUAAGACUGGGAUAACUCCGGGAAACCGGGGCUAAUACCGGAUGCUUGAUUGAACCGCAUGGUUCAAUUAUAAAAGGUGGCUUUUAGCUACCACUUACAGAUGGACCCGCGGCGCAUUAGCUAGUUGGUGAGGUAACGGCUCACCAAGGCGACGAUGCGUAGCCGACCUGAGAGGGUGAUCGGCCACACUGGGACUGAGACACGGCCCAGACUCCUACGGGAGGCAGCAGUAGGGAAUCUUCCGCAAUGGACGAAAGUCUGACGGAGCAACGCCGCGUGAGUGAUGAAGGUUUUCGGAUCGUAAAACUCUGUUGUUAGGGAAGAACAAGUACCGUUCGAAUAGGGCGGUACCUUGACGGUACCUAACCAGAAAGCCACGGCUAACUACGUGCCAGCAGCCGCGGUAAUACGUAGGUGGCAAGCGUUGUCCGGAAUUAUUGGGCGUAAAGCGCGCGCAGGCGGUUUCUUAAGUCUGAUGUGAAAGCCCCCGGCUCAACCGGGGAGGGUCAUUGGAAACUGGGGAACUUGAGUGCAGAAGAGGAGAGUGGAAUUCCACGUGUAGCGGUGAAAUGCGUAGAGAUGUG